rnacentral:rRNA from 1 species
CAAGGAAUUUUCCGCAAUGGGCGCAAGCCUGACGGAGCAACGCCGCGUGCGGGAUGACGCCUUUCGGGGUGUAAACCGCUGUUCGUGGGGACGAAGCACUGACGGUACCCACGGAGGAAGGCCCGGCUAACUACGUGCCAGCAGCCGCGGUAAUACGUAGGGGCCGAGCGUUGUCCGGAGUUACUGGGCGUAAAGGGUGCGCAGGCGGUUUGCCGCGCCCGGCGUGAAAGCCCCCGGCUCAACCGGGGAGGGUCGUCGGGGACGGGCAGACUUGAGGAUGUCAGGGGCUGGUGGAAUUCCCGGUGUAGUGGUGAAAUGCGUAGAGAUCGGGAGGAACACCUGUGGCGAAGGCGGCCAGCUGGGACAGACCUGACGCUGAGGCACGAAGGCGUGGGGAGCGAACGGGAUUAGAUACCCCCGUAGUCC